rnacentral:rRNA from 1 species
AGCGAACGCUGGCGGCAGGCCUAACACAUGCAAGUCGAGCGCCCCGCAAGGGGAGCGGCAGACGGGAGAGUAACACGUGGGAACAUGCCCUUCAGUUCGGAACAACCCAGGGAAACUUGGGCUAAUACCGAAUACGUCCGUAAGGAGAAAGAUUUAUCGCUGAAGGAUUGGCCCGCGUCCGAUUAGCUAGUUGGUGAGGUAACGGCUCACCAAGGCGACGAUCGGUAGCUGGUCUGAGAGGAUGAUCAGCCUCACUGGGACUGAGACACGGCCCAGACUCCUACGGGAGGCAGCAGUGGGGAAUAUUGGACAAUGGGCGCAAGCCUGAUCCAGCCAUGCCGCGUGGGUGAUGAAGGCCCUAGGGUUGUAAAGCCCUUUCGGCGGGGAAGAUAAUGACGGUACCCGCAGAAGAAGCCCCGGCUAACUUCGUGCCAGCCGCCGCAGUAAUAC